GAUGAACGCUGGCGGCGUGCCUAACACAUGCAAGUCGAGCGAUCUUCUUCGGAAGAGAGCGGCGGACGGGUGAGUAACGCGUGGGUAACCUGCCCUGUACACACGGAUAACAUACCGAAAGGUAUGCUAAUACGGGAUGAUAUAUGAAAGUCGCAUGGCUUUUAUAUCAAAGCUCCGGCGGUACAGGAUGGACCCGCGUCUGAUUAGCUAGUUGGUAAGGUAAUGGCUUACCAAGGCGACGAUCAGUAGCCGACCUGAGAGGGUGAUCGGCCACACUGGAACUGAGACACGGUCCAGACUCCUACGGGAGGCAGCAGUGGGGAAUAUUGCACAAUGGGCGAAAGCCUGAUGCAGCAACGCCGCGUGAGCGAUGAAGGCCUUCGGGUCGUAAAGCUCUGUCCUCAAGGAAGAUAAUGACGGUACUUGAGGAGGAAGCCCCGGCUAACUACGUGCCAGCAGCCGCGGUAAUACGUAGGGGGCUAGCGUUAUCCGGAAUUACUGGGCGUAAAGGGUGCGUAGGCGGUCUUUCAAGCCAGAAGUGAAAGGCUACGGCUCAACCGUAGUAAGCUUUUGGAACUGUAGGACUUGAGUGCAGGAGAGGAGAGUAGAAUUCCUAGUGUAGCGGUGAAAUGCGUAGAUAUUAGGAGGAAUACCAGUAGCGAAGGCGGCUCUCUGGACUGUAACUGACGCUGAGGCACGAAAGCGUGGGGAGCAAACAGG
rnacentral:rRNA from 1 species